UUUGGUUUACCUUUGGUUGUU
rnacentral:piRNA from 1 species